rnacentral:rRNA from 1 species
AGAGUUUGAUCCUGGCUCAGGACGAACGCUUGGCGGCGUGCUUAACACAUGCCAAGUCGAGCGAGAAAAGCACCUUCGGGUGUGAGUACAGCGGCGAACGGGUGAGUAACACGUGGGCAACCUGCCYCAGAGACUGGGAUAACGUYCCGAAAGGGACGCUAAUACCGGAUGAUGCGCGACCUGCCAAGUGGGUCGCGCCAAAUGGUAGCUUCGGCUUCUACUCUGGGAUGGGCCCGCGCCGGAUUAGCUUGUUGGUGAGGUAACGGCUCACCAAGGCGACGAUCCGUAGCUGGUCUGAGAGGACGAUCAGCCACACUGGGACUGAGACACGGYCCAGACUCCUACGGGAGGCAGCAGUGGGGAAUCUUGCGCAAUGGGCGAAAGCCUGACGCAGCAACGCCGCGUGAGCGAAGACGGCCUUCGGGUUGUAAAGCUCUGUCAGGAGGGACCGAAGCCACUCAGGGUGAAUAGCCGAGAGGGGUGACGGUACCUCCAGAGGAAAGCCCCGGCUAACUACGUGCCAGCCGCCGCGGUAAUA